AGGAAGAUUGCGGCAAUAACAGGUCUGUGAUGCCCUCAGAUGUCCCGGGCCGCACACGUGCUACAUUGAUUAGCGCAGUGCGCAUACUUUCAAUAUGAUACAUUAGAUUGGAUUGUUUUAUUAAGCUCCAUCUAAUACUAUCCGGCUUGAGAAGGCUGGGUAAUCAAUUGUAAGUGCUGGUUCCUCCUCCCGUUGAGCAUUUUAAUAAUGGCCUCUCUACAUCCCUAGUAAUAUGCCUAGUGCGAUUGUAGUUGAGCCUUGCCAUUUAUGCAAGUGUCAAUUCUCAGUGGGGACAGACAUUUGAUAAUUCUUUGUCUCGUUCUUAACUAGGAAUGCCUUGUACGGGUCUUGGUUCAACAGACCACCCGGAAUACGUCCCUGCCCUUUGUACACACCGCCCGUCGCUCUUACCGAUGAAUUUCCCUGUGAGUUUGAAGUACUGGUGGUUGCAAAAUCAUUGGAAAUUCUGUCAAACAGCGAGAU
rnacentral:rRNA from 1 species